GUAGUUCUGGAACACAAGGAUGACUGCUAAGAAUCACACCCUGAACUGGCAGGUGAGUUUCCAUCCUUGGGUUCACUUGGUGCUAACUUCUACUCCCAUCUGAAGGGCACUAAACUGAAUAACUAAGUUGAACUGAAUAACUGAACUGAAUUUACUAGCUGAACUGAUACUGAUUAACUGGAUUGAUACUAGUGGUAUUGUUUAGCAUAGCUAAACUAAGUUUACUGGAUUUCAAUGACUGAUGGAAUGUACUGAGUUCUGAGGACUGGUUGAGACUACUAAAGUUAUUGAGAUUAACUGUGAAUACUGAGGUUGCUGAGGUUACUGAGCACUAAGAUUACUGAGAUUACUGAGUUUUCCUGAGUCACAUGACUGACUGAAUUCUAUAAAUCAUGGCUUGACUGAGAGUAUCAUGAUAACAUGACAUAGCUCUAGGCACACAACUAUAUUUUUUAGGUACAAGUACCCCCAGGACUUGAUGGAAGAAAACUGACA
rnacentral:lncRNA from 1 species